GCCUACGGCCAUACCACGUUGAACACACCGGUUCUCGUCCGAUCACCGAAGUUAAACAACGUCGGGCCCGGUUAGUACUUGGAUGGGUGACCGCCUGGGAACACCGGGUGCUGUAGGCA
rnacentral:rRNA from 1 species